AUGACGACACCAUGGCACUACCGUUCCAUGCUUCGAAGCUCCAUCCCAUUCUCCCUUGUCCUCGACUCAAACUCAGCAGAAAACAAAAUUGCAUACAAAAUGAAACACGUACCGAUCGGGGUACCACCGAUGGUUCUUCGAAAUGAUAAAGACGAUAAGAAAAUCAGAGGACCUUCUUCUUUGGGAAAUCCAGAUGAAUCAAUCCAGAGUAGUGAGGAAUAG
rnacentral:lncRNA from 1 species